GCGACGGUCGGGGCAGCAGCGGGGGGAAGACGGAGGGGUGUAGCGGUGGUCGGAAGUAGUGGGCGGAGAGCUGACGUAGGCGGACAGUUAAGUCAGGGGGUAAAUGCCGGGGCUCGACCUCGGAACUGCGUGUGAUACUGGGUGUCUUGAGUAUGGAAGAGGUGAGUGGAAUACCGAGUGUAGAGGUGAAAUUCGUAGAUAUUCGGAGGAACACCAGUGGCGAAGGCGGCUCACUGGUCCAUUACUGACGCUGAGGUGCGAAAGCGUGGGGAGCAAACAGGAUUAGAUACCCGUGUAGUC
rnacentral:rRNA from 1 species